rnacentral:rRNA from 1 species
UGGGGAAUCUUGCACAAUGGGGGAAACCCUGAUGCAGCGACGCCGCGUGAGCGAUGAAGCCCUUCGGGGUGUAAAGCUCUUUCGGCAGGGACGAAAACCGACGGUACCUGCAGAAGCAGCUGCGGCUAACUACGUGCCAGCAGCCGCGGUAAUACGUAGGCAGCAAGCGUUGUUCGGAGUUACUGGGCGUAAAGGGUGCGUAGGCGGCCUCUUAAGUUUGGUGUGAAAUCUCCCGGCUCAACUGGGAGGGUGCGCCGGAAACUGAGGGGCUAGAGUGUGGGAGAGGAGAGUGGAAUUCCUGGUGUAGCGGUGAAAUGCGUAGAUAUCAGGAGGAACACCGGUGGCGCAAGCGGCUCUCUUGGACCACCACUGACGCUGAGGCACGAAAGCGUGGGUAGCAAACA